rnacentral:rRNA from 1 species
AUUGAACGCUGGCGGCAGACCUAACACAUGCAAGUCGAGCGGUAGAGAGGUGCUUGCACCUCUUGAGAGCGGCGGACGGGUGAGUAAUGCCUAGGAAUCUGCCUGGUAGUGGGGGAUAACGCUCGGAAACGGACGCUAAUACCGCAUACGUCCUACGGGAGAAAGCAGGGGACCUUCGGGCCUUGCGCUAUCAGAUGAGCCUAGGUCGGAUUAGCUAGUUGGUGAGGUAAUGGCUCACCAAGGCGACGAUCCGUAACUGGUCUGAGAGGAUGAUCAGUCACACUGGAACUGAGACACGGUCCAGACUCCUACGGGAGGCAGCAGUGGGGAAUAUUGGACAAUGGGCGAAAGCCUGAUCCAGCCAUGCCGCGUGUGUGAAGAAGGUCUUCGGAUUGUAAAGCACUUUAAGUUGGGAGGAAGGGUCGUUACCUAAUACGUGACGAUUUUGACGUUACCGACAGAAUAAGCACCGGCUAACUCUGUGCCAGCAGCCGCCGUAAGAC